GGAGUUUAAAGGAUUCCAUCCAUUUUUAUGAUACCGGUAAACUUUGGUCCGGUUCAUCAAUUGACCCAGUUUGUACUGGUGACCCAGUUCUAUAAACACGUAAAAGUCAACAAAGUAACUAAUUAUUUCAUAUCACAUUGUCUCUUCACCAUAAGAGAUUGAUGAACAUGAACAGGUUGAUAUAUUGUGAGAUAAUCCAUAUAAUUGAUGCUUUUUUCGUGAUUUAUGAUUGCAUCUAGGCUUUGCCCUUGAGUAUUUUGUUAGGCAUCUAGUCUUUUUCCUUGAAACUUAAUAGUCACUUACAUCAAGUAUUUGUUUCAAGUACUUUGUCUAGGUUGUUCAACAUUAUUAUGACUAGUAAAGAAUAUUCGGCUUCUAGGCUUUGAGUCUAUAAAUAUUUAAUUUAUUUAUAUAUGCAAUUUUUUUUUAAUAACAUUUAUAUAUGCAAUUUAUAACAUAUAUUUAGCAUGAAUUUAUAACAUAUAUUUAGCAUGAUUUUUUGUUUUUGUAGAAUCCAUCAAUUUUGAUUGCGAUUUUACGAUUUUUGAUUUUGCUGAUCCCUUUCAACCUGAACUAAAAUCACGACUUUGACAACCUUGGUGUGCAAAACUCCCCGUCAUUUGGAAUUCUUUGGGACAUUAAUAGUAAAGAUACGUAAAAUCAUGCGUUUUAACUUAGGAAGAGGCUUUUACGAGUUCACCUUUUCUUCCCUCGAAGAUGUUCAAAGUGUCAGAUCUCUCAACUCUUGGAACUUAAGCCCUAAGUAUUAAAACUCAUUCUUGG
rnacentral:lncRNA from 1 species